GAUGAACGCUGGCGGCGUGCUUAACACAUGCAAGUCGAACGAAGCGUCCCGCCCGAUGAAAUGGAGAGCUUGCUCAAAGUAGAAUCAAUUGGGAUGACUUAGUGGCGGACGGGUGAGUAACGCGUGGGUAACCUGCCUUACACAGGGGGACAACAGUUGGAAACGACUGCUAAUACCGCAUAAGCGCACGGUAUCGCAUGAUAUAGUGUGAAAAGAUUUAUCGGUGUAAGAUGGACCCGCGUCUGAUUAGCCAGUUGGCGGGGUAACGGCCCACCAAAGCGACGAUCAGUAGCCGGCCUGAGAGGGUGAACGGCUACAUUGGGACUGAGACACGGCCCAAACUCC
rnacentral:rRNA from 1 species